GACGAACGCUGGCGGCGUGCUUAACACAUGCAAGUCGAACGGAAAGGCCCUGCUUUUGUGGGGUGCUCGAGUGGCGAACGGGUGAGUAACACGGGAGUAACCUGCCCUUGACUUUGGGAUAACUUCAGGAAACUGGGGCUAAUACCGGAUAGGAGCUCCUGCUGCAUGGUGGGGGUUGGAAAGUUUCGGCGGUUGGGGAUGGACUCGCGGCUUAUCAGCUUGUUGGUGGGGUAGUGGCUUACCAAGGCUUUGACGGGUAGCCGGCCUGAGAGGGUGACCGGCCACAUGGGGACUGAGAUACGGCCCAGACUCCUACGGGAGGCAGCAGUGGGGAGUAUUGCACAGUGGGCGGAAGCCUGAUGCAGCGACGCCGCGUGCGGGAUGACGGCCUUCGGGUUGUAAACCGCUUUCGCCUGUGACGAAGCGUGAGUGACGGUAAUGGGUAAAGAAGCACCGGCUAACUACGUG
rnacentral:rRNA from 1 species